rnacentral:sRNA from 1 species
UGCGUCUGCGGCGGAUGAAGCAUAGCCUGUCAGAGUGCUUUGCAGACAGUGUGGCUAUGUUCAGUCUUGUAUCAUAAGCACAGCUUAUUUCAAAGCUUUUU